rnacentral:rRNA from 1 species
GCACGUGCUAAGUUCAUACAUUUGUAAUGUGAGACUGCGGACGGCUCAGUAUAUCAGUUAUAAUCUGCUCGAUUGUAAAGGUUAUUGGAUAACCGUGGGAAAUCUAGAGCUAAUACAUGUGGGGUUCGGUGCGUUUGUGCCGAUUGCAUUUAUUAGAGUAAUACCAACGGUGUGAGCAAUCGCACGUGGUGAAUCUAGAUAACUGUGCAGAUCGCAUGACCUUGAGUCGGCGACAUUUCGAUUGAAUUUCUGCCCUAUCAACUGUUGUUGGGAGUGUAGUGGACUCCCAAGGUUUUAACGGGUAACGGGGAAUCAGGGUUCGAUUCCGGAGAGGGAGCCUGAAAAACGGCUACCACAUCCAAGGAAGGCAGCAGGCGCGCAAAUUACCCAAUCCAGACAAUGGGAGGUGGUGACGAAAAGUACCGAAUGGCGGCUUAUGGCUGUCAGUUUGGAAUGAAAACAAUUUAAGCAAUUGAAUUGAGUAACGACUGGAGGGCAAGUCUGGUGCCAGCAGCCGCGGUAAUUCCAGCUCCAGUGGCGUAUCUCAAAGUUGCUGCGCUUAAAACGCUCGUAGUUGGAUCACUCACUACGCGUUGGUGGAUCUCGGUGGGCUCGCGGUUAACCCCCUGCGUCCGGGUGUCGUGUUCUCACGGCAUUCUGGAGUAGGGGGAGCAGUCUGUCGGGAUUAUAAGCCGACGCGUAGUAAUUGCACGUGGGGAUGGCCGUUGACCUUUAGUGCGUUGAGGGUCGUGUCUCACGGGGUGUGCCUUGAGUAAAUCAAAGUGCUUAACGCAGGCUUUACGCUUGAAUGUUUUUAGCAUGGAACGAACAAUCGUGUAUGGUGUGUGUUGACUCUGGUGCGAUUUGGCCUCGGCCUGCGCACUACAACACGCGACACCGACCGCCAAUUACGGAUGUUGGUUCCGUAUUGGGGUACCGAUUAAGAGGAGCGGUUGGGGGCAUUGGUAUUUGGCAGCGAGAGGUGAAAUUCUUGGACCUGCCAAGGACUAACAAAUGCGAAGGCAUCUGUCCAGACCGUAUCCAUUAAUCAAGAACGAUAGUGAGAGGUUCGAAGAUGAUCAGAUACCGUCCUAGUUCUCACUGUAAACUAUGCCGACCCGGGAUCAGUUUUUGGUUUUUAUCAAUGACCGAGGUUGGUCCCCCUGGGAAACCUUAAGUUUUUCGGUUGCGGGGGGAGUAUGGUCGCAAGGCUGAAACUUAAAGGAAUUGACGGAAGGGCACCACCAGGGGUGGAGCCUGCGGCUUAAUUUGACUCAACACGGGAAAACUUACCUGGUCCGGACAUCAGAAGGAUAUUCCGAGCAAAGAUCUUAAUUGAUUUGAUGAUUGGUGGUGCAUGGCCGUUCUUAGUUCGUGGAGUGAUCUGUCAGGCUUAUCCCGGUAACGAACGAGAUCACAGUCUCCAUUUGACGAGUCGAAGAAGGCAGCAAUCGCGUCGGGUUGCGGCAACGCAGCCCCCGCCUUGGCUGUUGUAGGCAGUUUUGGGCAGUUUUUGUCGUGCGGCUUAGGCCAAGUGGCAGAAAUUCCACCCGAGGCUCCCUUCGAUAGAGCAGUGUGUGACCCGCAAGGGCCACGUGCUGUAUCAUGGAGAGACAACGGAACAUAUUCAAAAUCCGAGGAAGUGUGGCUAUAACAGGUCUGUGAUGCCCUUAGAUGUUCAGGGCUGCACGCGCGCUACAAUGGCGGCGUCAGCGAGUUUCUGGAUCGAAAGAUCUGGGUAACCUUGUAAUCGCCGCCGUGAUGGGGACUGACGAUUGUAAAUUCGUCACGAAAGAGGAAUCCCUAGUACGUGCGAUUCAUGAAAUCGCGCGGACUUAGUCCCUGCCCUUUGUACACACCGCCCGUCGCUACUACCGAGUGAAUGGUGUCAUGAUGCCUUGGGAGCGGANGUCAUUCCGGGUUUACUCGGCGUGACGCUGCGAUCAGCGUAGAA